UCGAGAAUUUUUCACAAUGGGGGAAACCCUGAUGGAGCGACGCCGCGUGGGGGAUGAAGGGCUUCGGUUCGUAAACCCCUGUCAUUGGCGAACAAGUGUUGCAUUCUAAUACAGUGUAACUUGAUAGUAGCCGAAGAGGAAGGGACGGCUAACUCUGUGCCAGCAGCCGCGGUAAUACAGAGGUCCCGAGCGUUGUUCGGAUUCACUGGGCGUAAAGGGUGCGUAGGUGGUUGGUUAAGUUUGAGGUGAAAGCUCCGAGCUCAACUCGGAAAAUGCCUUGAAGACUAUCUGACUAGAGGAUUGGAGGGGAGAUUGGAAUUCUCGGUGUAGCAGUGAAAUGCGUAGAUAUCGAGAGGAACACCAGUGGCGAAGGCGAAUCUCUGGACAAUUCCUGACACUGAGGCACGAAAGCCAAGGGAGCAAACGGG
rnacentral:rRNA from 1 species